GUCACACGAGAAGGCAAACACCGGCUCUCGAACGAUCACCGAAAUUAAGCAACGUCGAGUCUGGUCAGUACCUAGAUGGGUGACCGUUUGGGAAUACCUGGAG